GGGCUCGUAGCUCAACGGCAGAGCGGGUGGCUCAUAACCACUAGGUUCUAGGUUCGAAUCCUAGCGAGCCCACCA
rnacentral:tRNA from 1 species